rnacentral:rRNA from 1 species
UACGUAGGCAGCAAGCGUUGUUCGGAAUUACUGGGCGUAAAGAGUGUGUAGGCGGUUUUCUAAGUUCGGUGUGAAAUCUCCCGGCUUAACUGUGGGCGUGCGGGCGAUACGGGCAGACUGGAGUACUGCAGGGGAGACUGGAAUUCCUGGUGUAGCGGUGGAAUGCGCAGAUAUCAGGAGGAACACCGGUGGCGAAGGCGGGUCUCUGGGCAGUAACUGACGCUGAGGAGCGAAAGCGUGGGGAGCGAACAGG